CAGCUUGCUGUUUCGCUGACGAGUGGCGGACGGGUGAGUAAUGUCUGGGAAACUGCCUGAUGGAGGGGGAUAACUACUGGAAACGGUAGCUAAUACCGCAUAACGUCGCAAGACCAAAGAGGGGGACCUUCGGGCCUCUUGCCAUCGGAUGUGCCCAGAUGGGAUUAGCUAGUAGGUGGGGUAACGGCUCACCUAGGCGACGAUCCCUAGCUGGUCUGAGAGGAUGACCAGCCACACUGGAACUGAGACACGGUCCAGACUCCUACGGGAGGCAGCAGUGGGGAAUAUUGCACAAUGGGCGCAAGCCUGAUGCAGCCAUGCCGCGUGUAUGAAGAAGGCCUUCGGGUUGUAAAGUACUUUCAGCGGGGAGGAAGGGAGUAAAGUUAAUACCUUU
rnacentral:rRNA from 1 species